GGAGAAUUUGCCAAACGCAGUAGUGCCUGACUCGUUACGGACACCAGGGUGACUGACGCACGCUGUGUCCGAAGCCCGUCUGCAUUUCUGGGAGAACGAGCCCCACAUCACUAUGCGCCCGGGUGGUCGCAGUCGGAAGCAAGACCGAGUGAGGCCAAGACAAAGACUAAAUAGCCCUCUGAUUGGUGCUCGGACAACAGCGUUUUAGUGAGAUUGUAAAGACAGACCUCAAAGUUGGAUGGCUGCGGUGAACGCCAGUGUCUUUGAUGGAAGCCAUGGAGGAGCCAAGCUCACAGCUGCCUUUUUUGACAGCUGCUGCAGAAGGAGGUCCAGUAAUCCACUGAUGUCUCCGGUAAGAGCCGACUUAAUAUCAACAUUUUUCCAUCCAAAAACAUGCUGGUUGAUGUAGAGAAACAUGUUCUCUUGACCGCUCUGUGUUAAAGCUUCACAACAAACAAAGAAACACCGGCUGUGUCUCGGUGCUAAAGGCAGCUGCAAUCCACCGCUUUCCACCAACAGCAUUCUUCUUUAUAGUCUGCAUAAAAAUUGGUCUUUUUAGUUUACGGACUUUU